rnacentral:rRNA from 1 species
UACGUAGACCUCGAGCGUUAUCCGGAUUUACUGGGCGUAAAGCGUACGUAGGCGUUUUUUGUUAAGUCUUCGGUGAAAUCUCUCCGCCUAACGGAGAAACUGUCGAAGAAACUGGCAGAAUUGAGUGUGACAGAGGCAGACGGAAUUCGAGGUGUAGCGGUAAAAUGCGUAGAUAUCUCGAAGAACACCAGUGGCGAAGGCGGUCUGCUGGGGUCAUCACUGACGCUGAGGUACGAAAGCGUGGGUAGCGAACGGG